GAGGGGCGCGAGGGCCGCGGAAAACGCGAAGACAACCAACCCUCAUCCGGCGCAUCUGAGAGCAGGUCGCCGCCCCGGUCGAUCCACUUCUACCGUACGCGAGAGCAGGCCGCCGUCCUCGCCGCUCCUCCGACGGAGGCAAUUGCAGGACGCCGCCCCUGCCGCUGCUCCUCUGCUUCCCCAUGUAGGCCGCUGAUCCUCUUCCCACGGACGCGAGCGCGGGCCGACGCCCCCGCCGGUCCCUUUCUAACGAACUUAAGAGCAGGCCGCUACCCCCGCCGCUUCUCCUCCAACGGAUGUGAGAGCAGGCCGCCGCCCCGCUGCUCCUCCUCUGCUACCCCAGGUACAUGGCCGCCGAACAGACAACACGGCCGCCGCCCGCCGCUCCUCAUCGUCUUCACCCACGAAGAUGCUACUAAUUAAGUGUCAACGGAAUAGAGGAACGCAGCGGAAGGAGCAUCAGGCACGCGGUUGCGGCGCCGGCGAAGGUCGGAAAAGAGAUGGGUGGGUUCUCGCCAAGUUUCUGCGGCUCAUGGUGUUCAUCCAACUCCCUAGAACAACUAGAAGAUGAGUUACCACGACUUCUACAUCAAAGGUUGGAUCUUUAGUAGUUUGUUGGUGGGUGUGCCUACUUACUAAUUUGAUUUGAUAAGUCAACCUGAGGAACUGCAGAUUAGGUGUGAAUGAAGUUGUUAAUAUCAUUUCGUUCGUGUGUACUUGUGUACUAAUGAUAGCUGCUGCGUUUGUCUGUGAGAGCUGCUGCGUUGUAUAAGGCCGACGUGCACCAAUGUAAACUUUAGGUGAAGCUUACAACACGGCGAGGGGUAGCCUUGAUUUCUGCAUGAGUAAUGCACCUGUAAUGUUUCAUGUUGUGUUCCUGGACUGCCAACAUUACAGAAUGAUAAGCAUUAUGAAUCAGAUUUUUCUCCGCAUGACAAUUGGUAUGGUUGUUGCUUGACAAAUGAUUUAAAGGCAUAAACUGAUUAGAGAACAUGUCAUGUGUUCUAAUUUCUGAA